GACGAACGCUGGCGGCGUGCUUAACACAUGCAAGUCGAACGGAAAGGCCCUGCUUUUGUGGGGUGCUCGAGUGGCGAACGGGUGAGUAACACGUGAGUAACCUGCCCUUGACUUUGGGAUAACUUCAGGAAACUGGGGCUAAUACCGGAUAGGAGCUCCUGCUGCAUGGUGGGGGUGGGAAAGUUUCGGCGGUUGGGGAUGGACUCGCGGCUUAUCAGCUUGUUGGUGGGGUAGUGGCUUACCAAGGCUUUGACGGGUAGCCGGCCUGAGAGGGUGACCGGCCCCAUUGGGACUGAGAUACGGCCCAGACUCCUACGGGAGGCAGCAGUGGGGAAUAUUGCACAAUGGGCGGAAGCCUGAUGCAGCAACGCCGCGUGCGGGAUGACGGCCUUCGGGUUGUAAACCGCUUUCGCCUGUGACGAAGCGUGAGUGACGGUAAUGGGUAAAGAAGCACCGGCUAACUACGUG
rnacentral:rRNA from 1 species